UACGUAGGGACCGAGCGUUGUCCGGAUUCAUUGGGCGUAAAGAGCUCGUAGGCGGCUGUUCAAGUCGAACGUGAAAACUCGGAGCUCAACUCCGAGCCUGCGUUCGAUACUGGAUGGCUAGAGUCUGGUAGGGGGAUCUGGAAUUCCUGGUGUAGCGGUGGAAUGCGCAGAUAUCAGGAGGAACACCGGUGGCGAAGGCGGGAUCCU
rnacentral:rRNA from 1 species